rnacentral:lncRNA from 1 species
ACAAUCGGAGCGGACCUAGGGUUCGUUCGCCGCGUCGGCGCUUACCAGCGGGAGGGAUCGGGUUCGGUGCUUACCGACGGAUCCCCGCCCCGCGGCGGAGGGCGACGGCGACGGCGACGGCGGGCGCGGGCGCGAGGGGGCGAGAGAAUUCCCUGGCGGUGGAGGGGGCGUGUACGGCGGAGAGGGGUCGACGACGACGCCGCGAAAGAGAGGGGGGAGGCGGAGAGAGGAUAAGGAUGGGAGGGGAUUCUCGAGUUCCUUGGGGGUGUUUUCGUAUAUGUAUCGCUGAGUGUGAGUGGAUGGAUGGAUGUGGACGGAUGGGAACCAACCAACGGACGGAAACUUCCGGGCGCUUGUUGGAGCCGUACCAUUGAUCCGAACCUUCCAAAUUGACACCUGCUCUGCUACAAAACCCUUUUCGGUUUUUCCAGUG